UUUGGGGCUAUAGCUCAGUGGUAGAGUGUAUGCUUAGCAUGCAUGAGGCCCUGGGUUCAAACCCCAGUACCAAAA